rnacentral:rRNA from 1 species
AGUGAACGCUGGCGGUAGGCCUAACACAUGCAAGUCGAACGGCAGCACAGCAAGAGCUUGCUCUUACGGGUGGCGAGUGGCGGACGGGUGAGGAAUACAUCGGAAUCUACUUUUUCGUGGGGGAUAACGUAGGGAAACUUACGCUAAUACCGCAUACGACCUACGGGUGAAAGCAGGGGAUCUUCGGACCUUGCGCGAUUGAAUGAGCCGAUGUCGGAUUAGCUAGUUGGCGGGGUAAAGGCCCACCAAGGCGACGAUCCGUAGCUGGUCUGAGAGGAUGAUCAGCCACACUGGAACUGGGACACGGUCCAGGCUCCUACGGGAGGCAGCAGUGGGGAAUAUUGGACAAUGGGCGCAAGCCUGAUCCAGCCAUACCGCGUGGGUGAAGAAGGCCUUCGGGUUGUAAAGCCCUUUUGUUGGGAAAGAAAAGCAGCAGGUUAAUACCCCGCUGUUCUGACGGUACCCAAAGAAUAAGCACCGGCUAACUUCGUG